rnacentral:tRNA from 1 species
CUUAUUAAGUGUCUGAGUUGCAUUCAGGUGAUGUGUGUUAGAGUUACACAGGUUCUC